AGCAGCCGCGGUAAUUCCAGCUCCAAUAGCGUAUAUUAAAGUUGUUGCAGUUAAAAAGCUCGUAGUUGAAUUUCGGGGUUAGUAGAUUGGUCAUGCCUCUGGUAUGUACUGGUCUCACUGAUUCCUCCUUCCUGAUGAACCUUAAUGCCAUUAAUUUGGUGUUUUGGGGAAUUUGGACUGUUACUUUGAAAAAAUUAGAGUGUUUAAAGCAAGCUAACGCUUGAAUACAUUAGCAUGGAAUAAUGAAAUAGGACGUUCGAUCCUAUUUUGUUGGUUUCUAGGAUUGACGUAAUGAUUAAUAGGGAUAGUUGGGGGCAUUAGUAUUCAAUUGUCAGAGGUGAAAUUCUUGGAUUUAUUGAAGACUAACUACUGCGAAAGCAUUUGCCAAGGAUGUUUUCGUUAAUCAAGAACGAAAGUUAGGGGAUCGAGGACGAUCAGAUACCGUCGUAGUCUUAACCAUAAACUAUGCCGACUAGGGAUCGGAUGAUGUUAAUUUUUUAAUGACUCA
rnacentral:rRNA from 1 species